AUACGUAGGGGGCAAGCGUUGUCCGGAAUUAUUGGGCGUAAAGGGUACGCAGGCGGCUUUGUAAGUCAGAUGUGAAAGACUAUGGCUUAACUGUGGUAAGCAUUUGAAACUACAGAGCUUGAGUACAGGAUGGGAGAGUGGGAUUCCUAGUGUAGCGGUGAAAUGCGUAGAUAUUAGGAGGAAUACCAGUGGCGAAGGCGACUCUCUGGACUGUAACUGACGCUGAGGUACGAAAGCAUGGGGAGAAAACAGGAUGAGAUACCCUGGUAGUCCAUGCUAGAAACGAUGAGUGCUAGGUGUUGGGAGGGACACCUCUCGGUGCCGAAGUUAACACAUUAAGCACUCCGCCUGGGGAGUACGGUCGCAAGACUGAA
rnacentral:rRNA from 1 species